rnacentral:lncRNA from 1 species
CAGCGUCACGACUCACUAUUGGAAACACCUCUUUAGUGUCUGCCUUCCCUGUCUGCUCUGGGAGGAGGGACAUGGCUUCUGUCUCCGUCUCAGUCCCACACUCUGCCCAGCUCCUGGCGUGGGGAAAGUGCUCAGUAAAUACUCAGUGAACGAUGAACAGGAAGAGAUGAAUGAGGACAGGAAGCUGGCCCAGGGAGUUUCGGGAGGUGCUCGGUUUUGGGAUCCAGGGACUCAGCUCCUUUGAUCAAGCCGGCAAUCCCCUAGCUCUUCUCCUUUGCCUUGCUCGCUCGCUUCCUCGGGUCUCUCUUCUAGUUUGAUUUUUCGCUUCUGCACUCAGGGUCUCAAUUUAUUCUUUGCCAAGUCGUCCAGCUCCUGGCUCAUUACUGUCACUGAAACCAAAGUGGGUUCCCUCCUGGUGAGUUAAAUCAGACUCUCCACCAGCAGUAGUUGUCUCACAAAGUAAGGUAUAUUUCCAGCAACUAGGAGACCACAAGGAGUCAUUUCCAGGUCACGGCAUCUCUGAACAAAGGGAAGCAGGGACUUUUAUUUGGGAUGGGGAAUGAAUAUUCAAAAGGGAGAGGUGGCUAUCCUCUUGUGCAGGCUCAGUUGGAAAACAAGCUUCCACACACACUGCAGGUGAUGGUAAUAAGGCCUCAGGCCCUCCUGGAGAGAUCUUAGCGUUAAAAAUAAGGCAACUGUCACAGGCCCAGCUCUCUGGUGAGGCUGGGUCUGGUUCAGGGAGGUUGGUGAUCGCAUCUCCUUAACGUAACAAAAGGAAAAAAACAAUCUGGCAAAACAGUUCAAUGCUUCCAAACUCAUCCUUGAGUUCCUGGGGCAACUGGUCGAUGACAUUGCCAACAGGCCACAUUGUCACGAUUGUUCCACUGAAUACAUAACGAGGGAUGGAGUUGGACUCUUCGAGCCUUAGGACAGGGUUCUCUACAUUCCUUUUCUCUGCACAUCCGAGGGAGGAGAUUAAUUCCCGUAAGUUUCAGUGCUUUCUCAUAACAGCAAUUCUCAGGGACCUGAAAAAAACAAGCCCUUGGAAGGGACUUACCAGAAUCAGGAAAUUCAGCGCUGACCCCUUCUUUCUUUGGAAUUUCUGUUCAGUUUUUCUAAGGACAGCAUCUGCAUUCCGAGUAGAUGCUGUGUAUUUGGGAGCAUCAAGAGGAGCAGCGUUUAAAAUCUGAUGCAUGGGAGAGAGUCUCCAUUCUUUAAUGAAGCCUCGCCAACCUAGUGGCUUCCUCUGCUCACCGACACUCAGCUUGGACGUCCCCCUGCUGGCCCAGGAAGGGCCCUCUCAGGGGUGUGGCCCCCAGGAGCAGCCUCUCUCUGAUGCUCUGACUCACAGGUGCCGGGGCCACCCUGCCCCACCCCAGGCUUUCUCUCCCACCUGGACUGGGAAUUUCUUUUUUUUUUUAAAUCAGUUUUAUUGAGGUGUAAUAUAUAUAAAAUAAAGUUCAUCAAUUUUGGUGUAUAAUUUGAUGA